CCUAACACAUGCAAGUCGAGCGGUAGCACAGAGAGCUUGCUCUCGGGUGACGAGCGGCGGACGGGUGAGUAAUGUCUGGGAAACUGCCUGAUGGAGGGGGAUAACUACUGGAAACGGUAGCUAAUACCGCAUAAUGUCGCAAGACCAAAGUGGGGGACCUUCGGGCCUCAUGCCAUCAGAUGUGCCCAGAUGGGAUUAGCUAGUAGGUGGGGUAACGGCUCACCUAGGCGACG
rnacentral:rRNA from 1 species